rnacentral:rRNA from 1 species
AGAGUUUGAUCAUGGCUCAGGAUGAACGCUAGCGGCAGGCUUAAUACAUGCAAGUCGAACGGGAUUCAGAUAGCAAUAUUUGAUGAGAGUGGCGCACGGGUGCGUAACACGUAUGCAACCUACCUUUAACUGGUGAAUAGCCCCGGGAAAUCGGGAUUAAUACACCAUAACAUCACGAAAGGGCAUCCUUUUGUAAUUAAAGAACUUCGGUUAAAGAUGGGCAUGCGGGACAUUAGCUAGUUGGUGAGGUAACGGCUCACCAAGGCAGUGAUGUCUAGGGGUCCUGAGAGGGUUAUCCCCCACACUGGUACUGAGACACGGACCAGACUCCUACGGGAGGCAGCAGUAAGGAAUAUUGGUCAAUGGGCGCAAGCUUGAACCAGCCAUGCCGCGUGAAGGAAGACGGCCCUAUGGGUUGUAAACUUCUUUUGUCAGGGAAUAAACGAUGGUACGUGUUACCGUCCUGAAGGUACCUGAAGAAUAAGCAUCGGCUAACUCCGUGCCAGCAGCCGCGGUAAUACGGAGGAUGCAAGCGUUAUCCGGAUUCAUUGGGUUUAAAGGGUGCGCAGGCGGAUUGGUAAGUCAGGGGUGAAAUCCCACAGCUCAACUGUGGAACUGCCUUUGAUACUGUCAGUCUAGAGUAUAGUUGAAGUUGGCGGAAUGUGUCAUGUAGCGGUGAAAUGCUUAGAUAUGACACAGAACACCGAUCGCGAAGGCAGCUGACUAAGCUAUAACUGACGCUCAUGCACGAAAGCGUGGGGAUCAAACAGGAUUAGAUACCCUGGUAGUCACGCUGUAAACGAUGAUUACUCGAUGUUGGCGAUCACUGUCAGCGUCUGAGCGAAAGCAAUAAGUAAUCCACUGGGGAGUACGAUCGCAAGAUUGAAACUCAAAUGAAUUGACGG